rnacentral:rRNA from 1 species
CCUACGGGAGGCUGCAGUGAGGAAUAUUGGUCAAUGGACGAGAGUCUGAACCAGCCAAGUAGCGUGAAGGAUGACUGCCCUAUGGGUUGUAAACUUCUUUUAUAUGGGAAUAAAAUGUUCCACGUGUGGGAUUUUGUAUGUACCAUAUGAAUAAGGAUCGGCUAACUCCGUGCCAGCAGCCGCGGUAAUACGGAGGAUCCGAGCGUUCUCCGGAUUUAUUGGGUUUAAAGGGAGCGUAGGUGGAUUGUUAAGUCAGUUGUGAAAGUUUGCGGCUCAACCGUAAAAUUGCAGUUGAAACUGGCAGUCGUGAGUACAGUAGAGGUGGGCGGAAUUCGUGGUGUAGCGGUGAAAUGCUUAGAUAUCACGAAGAACUCCGAUUGCGAAGGCAGCUCACUGGACUGCAACUGACACUGAGGCUCGAAAGUGUGGGUAUCAAACAGGAUUAGAUACCCUUGUAGUC